CAACCUAAGAGUUUGAUCCUGGCUCAGAACGAACGCUGGCGGCAGGCCUAACACAUGCAAGU
rnacentral:rRNA from 1 species